AUUGAACGCUGGCGGCAGGCCUAACACAUGCAAGUCGAACGAGUGGCGGACGGGUGAGUAAUGUAUGGGAAACUGCCCGAUGGAGGGGGAUAACUACUGGAAACAGGAGCUAAUACCGCAUACCAUCGGAUGUGCCCAGAUGGGAUUAGCUAGUUGGUGGGGUAACGCCUCACCUAGCCGACGAUCCCUAGCUGGUCUGUGAGGAUGACCAGCCACCCUGGACUUGAACCACGGCCCAGCCCCCUACGGGAGGCAGCGUUGGGGAAAAUAGUACAAGGGGCGCAGCGUUAAUCCGACCAUGCCGCGUGUAGGGAGAAGUCCAUCGGGUUUUAAAGGUCUUUCAGCGAGAAGGCGUUACUCGCAGAAUAAGCACCGGCUAACUCCGUGCCAGCAGCCGCGGUAAUAC
rnacentral:rRNA from 1 species